rnacentral:lncRNA from 1 species
CUGUACAAACCAGUCAAUGCUGAGGUGCAGAAGGUGACCUUAACUUCACAGCAGGAAAAAGAGAAAGUGAGGGAAAGAGAUAGAGAAGCAUGAUGGCUGAAUUCGGAUGGAUUAAAAUAUCUUUUUUACUGACACCAGUGCUUCAGAUUACAGCAGUAACUGGACAAAGUUCAGACUCGUUGAUUGUCAGAGCUGGAGAUGACGUCACUUUGCCUUGUGAAAAUGUGAUAAAUGAUCACCAUAGCUGUGUCAGUACAACAUGGAUCUUCAGUGGUUCCAGAAACACAGUAACACUGUUUGAAAAUGGGCAGAUUCACAAAGAUGCCAUGGCUAAAUCAGACAGACUGAGUGUUACAGCGAACUGUUUUCUGGUUAUAAAGAAGGUCACAGUCGAGGAUGUUGGUCGUUACGUCUGCAGGCAGUUUAUAUCAGGACAACAACAAGAUCCAGACUCUCUGGUUGAUUUGUCUGUUAUUACCAUGACUGAACAUCAGACGAAUGAGAGAGUCAUUUGGUUCUGCGCUGUGUUGACAUAUGAAGGCUGUGGACACUCAGUGAAGUGGCUGUAUGAUGACGAUGAUGAUAAGAUUGACACUGAGAUAUCACAGUAUACCUGUGCAUCCAGUGUGGCAUUUACAAUUCCUCAUCUCAAGCAGAAGUCAAACUAUUAUGAGUUAUGUAAGUGUAACAUGACGGAUGAUAAGAGAGGACAAACGCUGCUGUGUUAUGUUGGUCCCCAGUCCUCAUGUGAGAAAACAGGAAGCAAAGGGAAUAAUAAGACUGCAGAGGAUGACACUUCAACACAAGGUAGUGACUUAACAUCUCUCUCUCUCUCUCUCUCUCUCUCUCUCUCUCCCUCCUGCUCUCUCUCCUCUCUCUCUCAUCUGUUUCUCUCUCUCUCUCCUCUGUUCGUCUCUCUCUCUAACCCUCCCUCUCUCUCUCUCUCUCUCCUGUUUCUCUCUUCUCCUUCUCUCUCUCUCUCUCUCCUCUGUUCCUCUCUCUCUCUCUCCUCUGUCUCUCUCGCUCUCUCCUCUGUCUCUCUCGCUGUCUCUCUCUCCUCUGUUUCUCACCCCCCCCCCUCUCACUCUUUCUCUCUAUCUCCCUCCUGCUCUCUCUCUCAUCUGUUCCUCUCUCUCUCUCUCUCUCUCUCCUCGUUCUGAGGCGCCGGCAUGGCGUCCAGCAGCGGAUUCUCCAGGCUGACUCGGAAGCACGGCAUUAAAACCGGAGCCGGCUCUCCGUGCAGGGUGGAGGAGGUAGCACUGACUAGUUUGAUUAUCACUUCAGAGUCCGUGUGUCGAUGAUUUCGAGUACAUCCUCUUUGCGACAUCAUCCACUGUGAAAUGAUUCGGAUGUGGCUAAGAGGGACAUUUGAUUAAGGCCUGUCCGAGCCGCGGUGCCCCGGCAG